UACAGAGGUCCCGAGCGUUGUUCAGAUUCACUGGGCGUAAAGGGUGCGUAGGUGGCAUGGAAAGUCUGAUGUGAAAGCUCAGGGCUUAACCCUGAAAUGGCAUUGAAUACUGCUGUGCUGGAGGUUUGGAGGGGGGACUGGAAUUCUUGGUGUAGCAGUGAAAUGCGUAGAUAUCAAGAGGAACACCAGUGGCGAAGGCGAGUCCCUGGACAACACCUGACACUGAGGCACGAAAGCUAGGGGAGCAAACAGG
rnacentral:rRNA from 1 species